rnacentral:rRNA from 1 species
AACGAACGCUGGCGGCAUGCCUAACACAUGCAAGACGAACGAGACCUUCGGGUCUAGUGGCGCACGGGUGCGUAACGCGUGGGAACCUGCCCUUAGGUUCGGAAUAACUCCCCGAAAGGGGUGCUAAUACCGGAUAAUGUCUUCGGACCAAAGAUUUAUCGCCUUUGGAUGGGCCCGCGUUGGAUUAGCUAGUUGGUAGGGUAAAAGCAUACCAAGGCGACGAUCCAUAGCUGGUCUGAGAGGAUGAUCAGCCACACUGGGACUGAGACACGGCCCAGACUCCUACGGGAGGCAGCAGUGGGGAAUAUUGGACAAUGGGCGAAAGCCUGAUCCAGCAAUGCCGCGUGAGUGAUGAAGGCCUUAGGGUUGUAAAGCUCUUUUACCCGGGAUGAUAAUGACAGUACCGGGAGAAUAAGCUCCGGCUAACUCCGUG